AAAGCGAGUUUAUUAAGAAAGUAAAGGAAUAAAAGAUUGGCUACACCACAGGCAGAACAGUGGCAUGGGCUGUUCAACUGAGUAUACUUAUGGUUAUUCAUUGAUUAUAUGCUAAACAAGGGGUGGAUUAGUCAAGAGUAUUCUGGGGAAAGGAGUGGAAAUUCCCAGAACUGAGGGUUCCACCCUCGCCUUUAGAUCAUAUAAGGUAACUUCCUAACAUCGCCAUGGCAUUUGUAAACUCUCAUGGUGCUGGUGGGAGAGUCUUUCAGCAAGCUAAUGUAUUAUAAUUAGCAUAUGAUGAGCAGUGGGGACGACCAGAGUUCACUUUCAUUGUCAGUCUUGGUUUUGGUGGAUUUUGGCCGGCUUCUUUAAGUAUCCUGUUUUACCAGCAGGGUCUUUUGCUGACCUCCCUGUCUCAUCCUGUGACUUAGAAUGCCUAACCUCCCGGGGAAUGCAUCCCAGCAGGUCUCCGCCUUCUUUUAUGCAGCCCCUAUUCAAGAUGGAGUCCCUCUGGUUCAAACGCCUCUUGACAGUUCAUUCUUCAGUGUUUCCGGCUAGGAAAUGUAAAUGUUUGUCCAUCCUAUUCACUGGGCUCUGAAGCACUCAUUUAGUACAUGGAGAAAGGAGAGGGAGAGGGGGAUGGGAGGAGGGGAGGAGCAGAGGAGGGAGAGGAGGGGGCCAUGGUUAGUCUAUCCUCUCUGCGGGGCCUCUCUGCUGGGACUCAGACGCUGAGCGCUGAAAUUCUCAUCCGCCACACACAACAUGGCGGCUUCCUGGACCCGCGCCCAAUUAUCGCUUCCGGGAUGGAAGCUACGUCAUUUCUCUCUCUGUUGCUCUAGCGCCCCUUGGAAGCCAAGAAUGUGAGGAAGUCUUCUUCCUUCGCGCCUCUUCUUCCUUCUUCUUGCUUCCGCUCCAGGGCAGCCUGACAGAGCCGCUCUAAGGCUCUGCUGGCCGCGGCUAGCCGGGUGCAGCAGAAGUCCCAGGUAGCUGAGAAGUUCGUGGAAUCUUCUUAUUUGGUACACCUUUCACUACUGCUUGUGAUAUAGUGCAGGGUUGGGAUGUGCAGACAUUUCUCAAGUGCACUGUGUACCUACACAGCAUGCUGCAAUUUGGCUACUGCAGUCAAGAGAAACUGGUUUGAACAACUACUGAGUGUAACAUAGGAUGUGCAUUUCGUUUGAUAACAGGAACACAGCUUUUGUGCUAAUAAAAUGCUUUGAAAAUUA